rnacentral:rRNA from 1 species
AUGAACGCUGGCGGCGUGCCUAAUACAUGCCAGUCGAGCGAACAGACGAGGAGCUUGCUCCUCUGACGUUAGCGGCGGACGGGUGAGUAACACGUGGAUAACCUACCUAUAAGACUGGGAUAACUUCGGGAAACCGGAGCUAAUACCGGAUAAUAUAUUGAACCGCAUGGUUCAAUAGUGAAGGACGGUUUUGCUGUCACUUAUAGAUGGAUCCGCGCCGCAUUAGCUAGUUGGUAAGGUAACGGCUUACCAAGGCAACGAUGCGUAGCCGACCUGAGAGGGUGAUCGGCCACACUGGAACUGAGACACGGUCCAGACUCCUACGGGAGGCAGCAGUAGGGAAUCUUCCGCAAUGGGCGAAAGCCUGACGGAGCAACGCCGCGUGAGUGAUGAAGGUCUUCGGAUCGUAAAACUCUGUUAUUAGGGAAGAACAAAUGUGUAAGUAACUAUGCACGUCUUGACGGUACCUAAUCAGAAAGCCACGGCUAACUACGUG